rnacentral:rRNA from 1 species
UACGUAGGGUGCAAGCGUUGCCCGGAUUUAUUGGGCGUAAAGGGCGCGCAGGCGGCUACGCACGUCCGUUGUGAAAUCGCUCGGCUCAACUGGGCGGGGUCGGCGGAUACGGCGUAGCUGGAGCAAGCUAGGGGGCAAUGGAAUUCCCGGUGUAGUGGUGGAAUGCGUAGAUAUCGGGAGGAACACCAGUGGCGAAGGCGGUUGCCUGGAGCUUUGCUGACGCUGAUGCGCGAAAGCGUGGGGAGCGAGUCCGG